rnacentral:lncRNA from 1 species
UCGUCUCUCCCAUUGCCCUCUCUCAGAGAUCACCCAUGGAACCCUAACCCGCCGCCCCUAAUUUCCACCGCCUCCACCGACGGCGCUUACUCCGUUCCCCACCAAACCCUAGAUCCCCCUCGACCCCCUCAUUCCAAAUAUCCAUCUAACUUCCCUCGAAUCACUCCUGAAUCCUUCGAAUCUUAGAUCGAAAGGAUGAACCCUAAUCCCCAAAAGCCACGAUUCGGGUCUGUUUGAAGUUUUGGGGCUUACUUUGAUGUUAUUCAUGUGUUCUUAUUAAGAACGCAUGAUUAAUGUUAUAGUUGGCCGGAAAAUUUGAGAAUUUGAGGAUUCAUGUUUCAUUCCUCAAAUCGCUCCGAUUUCAGUAGGUAUUUUCCGUUAUUCUUUUCAGUUUUAUCUAAGCUUUCAUUUUCAUUUUUUCUAUUCUUCUGUUUCUUGACCCCUCUGUUAUUUUGUGUUUUCCCGGAUUGCUUUCUUAGGCAUGUUCAGUUUAGGUUAGUAUUGUAGCUUGUUUUGUUAAUUAAUUUAAUUUAAAUUCGUUAGUUUAGCCAAAUAGUUAUUAAGUCGUUUUAGGUUGUUUGAUCUGUUAAACCAUUUCAGAGUUUGCAAUUUUCUUUUUAACUAAGUGUAUUGUUUGGAGUUGGGCUGUCUCUGAUUAAAUUGACAAAGAGCAGCCCGUUCAGAUUACGUUGGGCUAUUGGGUCAGCUUGACCCAGGUAAAUGGCUGGGGGUAAUUUCAGGGGUUGCGGGGGUAGUUUAGGAAUUUGGCUUGAGAAAUCUUUGUUGUAACAGCCUAGGGAAGCUUCCUAGAAGCUGGGAGGGGGAUUAACUUGCAAUAGCUGAAUUGAACUAAGGUUAAUUGAGCAAACAAGAAAAUUGACUGGGGAUUCCUAAGCUAAAAUGAGAAUUAGAGAGGGACUAAGGGAUAAAAACUAAUUCUUAAAAGCUGCCCUACUUCCUUGUCUAUAAAGGAAUACUUCUUGCAUUUGAGGGGGGGGGGGGGGUUCAGAGAUAAAAAUUCUGAAAAAUACCAAUGGCUGAAAAUCUAAAAAAAUUGUUCCCUCGAUUUCUCUGCUUUGAGUUUUGAAGUUUUCAAUCACUAAAACAUUUUGAUUCUCUCCGAGAUUGAAAUGGUUUAAAUUUGGAUUUCUAAAAGUUUUGGGUUGAAUUCUUGUUGGGUGGUUACUGUUCCAUUGGUUUCACAAGCUGAUUUCACUACUUAUUGUUGAUUGUCAAGUCUGGGUUAGCUUCUGGCUGCUACUGUUCAAGGCCGAUUCCUAAUUUUCUGUUUGUUUGGCUUUCCAGGUAUUUCCUUGACUUUUUAAGUGACAUAUGGAGUUCAAAUCUGAAAACAUGUAACCAAAAUGAAAGAUCUGAGAAUGAAUCUUAACUUUAUUGAAUAUCAGUCCCUGUUCAAAUAGAAUUUUUCCCUGUCUUUGUAAUAAUUUAAGCUCUUUCAUGGGUUGUCCAUUCCAUUGUGUUGAUACUCUUAUGUUUCAUCUUCAAAAGUAUGUUUUAGACUUCUAGUUCAUCAUGUGGUUCUGUAAUUAAGUCGAAGGACUUCGUAUUUGAACAUUUAAAGGAUGUGAAUGCUUCUGUAGUAUAGGUUUAAAUCAGUUAGGGCAUAUCAUGAUGGUUUGGA